CCUACGGGGUGCAGCAGUGAGGAAUAUUGGUCAAUGGGCGGGAGCCUGAACCAGCCAAGUCGCGUGAGGGAAGACGGUCCUAUGGAUUGUAAACCGCUUUAGGCGGGGAGCAAUGCCGGGCACGUGUGCCCGGAUGGAGAGUACCCGCAGAAUAAGCAUCGGCUAAUUCCGUGCCAGCAGCCGCGGUAAUACGGAGGAUGCGAGCGUUAUCCGGUUUUAUUGGGUUAAAGGGGUGCGGAGGCGGAUUUUUAAGUCAGCGGUAAAAUGUCCGGGCUCAACCCGGGCCGGCCGUUGAAACUGGGGAUCUUGAGUGGGCGGGAAGUAUGCGGAAUGCGUGGUGUAGCGGUGAAAUGCAUAGAUAUCACGCAGAACUCCGAUUGCGAAGGCAGCAUGCCGGCGCCCGACUGACGCUGAGGCACGAAAGCGUGGGGAUCGAACAGGAUUAGAUACCCUUGUAGUA
rnacentral:rRNA from 1 species